GGAAAAGAAACCAACAGGGAUUGCCUCAGUAGCGGCGAGUGAAGCGGCAAAAGCUCAAAUUUGAAAUCUGGCGUCUUUGGCGUCCGAGUUGUAAUUUGAAGAAGGUAUCUUUGGGCCCGGCUCUUGUCUAUGUUCCUUGGAACAGGACGUCACAGAGGGUGAGAAUCCCGUGCGAUGAGAUGACCCGGGUCUGUGUAAAGUUCCUUCGACGAGUCGAGUUGUUUGGGAAUGCAGCUCUAAGUGGGUGGUAAAUUCCAUCUAAAGCUAAAUAUUGGCGAGAGACCGAUAGCGAACAAGUACAGUGAUGGAAAGAUGAAAAGAACUUUGAAAAGAGAGUGAAAAAGUACGUGAAAUUGUUGAAAGGGAAGGGCUUGAGAUCAGACUUGGUAUUUUGCAUGUUGCUCUCUCGGGGGCGGCCGCUGCGGUUUACCGGGCCAGCAUCGGUUUGGAGCGGCAGGAUAAUGGCGGAGGAAUGUGGCACGGCUUCUGCUGUGUGUUAUAGCCUCUGACGAUACUGCCAGCCUAGACCGAGGAC
rnacentral:rRNA from 1 species